rnacentral:rRNA from 1 species
AGAGUUUGAUCCUGGCUCAGGAUGAACGCUAGCUACAGGCUUAACACAUGCAAGUCGUGGGGCAGCAUGGGAGAUGCUUGCAUUUCCCGAUGGCGACCGGCGCACGGGUGAGUAACGCGUAUCCAACCUGCCCUUCACUCCGGCACAGCCCGUCGAAAGACGGAUUAAUGCGGGAUGCAGUCAGAAAGAUGCAUAUUAAUUUGACGAAAGGCUUUAUGCCGGUGAGGGAUGGGGAUGCGUCCGAUUAGCUUGACGGCGGGGUAACGGCCCACCGUGGCUACGAUCGGUAGGGGUUCUGAGAGGAAGGUCCCCCACAUUGGAACUGAGACACGGUCCAAACUCCUACGGGAGGCAGCAGUGAGGAAUAUUGGUCAAUGGGCGAGAGCCUGAACCAGCCAAGUAGCGUGCAGGAUGACGGCCCUAUGGGUUGUAAACUGCUUUUAUAAGGGAAUAAAGUGAGUCUCGUGAGACUUUUUGCAUGUACCUUAUGAAUAAGGACCGGCUAAUUCCGUGCCAGCAGCCGCGGUAAUACGGAAGGUCCGGGCGUUAUCCGGAUUUAUUGGGUUUAAAGGGAGCGCAGGCCGUCCUUUAAGCGUGCUGUGAAAUGCCGCGGCUCAACCGUGGCACUGCAGCGCGAACUGGAGGACUUGAGUACGCACGAGGUAGGCGGAAUUCGUGGUGUAGCGGUGAAAUGCUUAGAUAUCACGAAGAACUCCGAUUGCGAAGGCAGCUUACCGGAGCGCAACUGACGCUGAGGCUCGAAAGCGCGGGUAUCGAACAGGAUUAGAUACCCUGGUAGUCCGCGCGGUAAACGAUGGAUGCCCGCCGUUGGGAUUUGGAUUUCAGCGGCCAAGCGAAAGCGUUAAGCAUCCCACCUGGGGAGUACGCCGGCAACGGUGAAACUCAAAGGAAUUGACGGGGGCCCG